CGCCUUGCCAGCCCGCUCAGAAACUUAAAGGAAUUGACGGGGCCCGCACAAGCGGAGGAACAUGUGGUUUAAUUCGAUGAUACGCGAGGAACCUUACCUGGGCUCGAACGUAAGAUGACUGUAGGUGAAAGCUUACAUCUCUUCGGAGCAUUUUACGAGGUGCUGCAUGGUUGUCGUCAGCUCGUGCCGUGAGGUGUCGGGUUAAGUCCCAUAACGAGCGCAACCCCUACCUUUAGUUGCCAUCAGGUUAAGCUGGGGACUCUAAAGGAACUGCCUACGCAAGUAGUGAGGAAGGCGGGGAUGACGUCAAAUCAGCACGGCCCUUACGUCCAGGGCUACACACGUGCUACAAUGGCCGAUACAGAGGGCAGCUACCUGGUGACAGGAUGCAAAUCUCCAAAGUCGGUCUCAGUUCGGAUCGGAGUCUGCAACCCGACUCCGUGAAGUUGGAUUCGCUAGUAAUCGCGCAUCAGCCAUGGCGCGGUGAAUACGUUCCCGGGCCUU
rnacentral:rRNA from 1 species